ACUUACUUACUUACUACAUAGUGAUGAUGGAUACUGCUGUUAUCUCUGAAACCCAAAAAGCAAAGAAUUUUCCACCACUCUCAUCUCUCUAUAAAUUAAAGCUGCUUCUAGAGUGGUCCAUGCUCUUCUCCUUUCUAUACCAAUGCUUCACUAUUUCUUCUUCCUUCCUUCCUUCCUUCAUUCAUUCAUUCAUCAGAUCUGAGUCCUGGUCAUGCUUUUCCACAGCUUUCUUGAACUUCUUGUAUGUGCAUCCAUCCAUCUCAACUUCUUCUAAGUAAGUAUGUAAUUACAGUCUUAUCCCUACAACUAAGCAAGAAGCUCAAGAAAGCUGUGGGAGAAUAUGGCAAUUUCAGGCCUUUCUUGUAUUUCUCUACUCUGAUUCUCUCAACAUCGGUAAGUGCUAUUACCCUACACCUUAUUAUAUAGAGUCAUCAUAUGCUGCUUUAUGGUUGUGUAUGUAAUUAGAUCCAACCAAAUCAAAUUGUUGCAUUACAUUAUAUUGUUUCAUCUCUGUUUUGUUUUAAGGAAAUAUAUAAAGAAAGAAAGAAAGAAAAGGUUCCCUGUCUCCUCUGAUCUGAUUUCAGUGGGAAAUAGUGGAAAAAUAAAGAAUCAACACUUUGAGCAACGGGCACACGAAACCCAUGAAGCAGCUUUGUGAAUUGUGACACGACAUCGUAUGAGUUACCAGAGAUUCAGCUGUAAGUAACUGAUCAUGGAUGCUUGGUGAUUGGUGACCUGAACCCUUCAAUGACACUCAUGAAAAGAUGAAACUGAAUCAUCAGAUAAUUUUCCUAGUACGGAAUUAUUCUUGCUUUCAAACUAUAACACCACUGUUCAACUUUUUUACAAAAAAUCAAAAUGUAAAAUAUAAAAUAAAACCAGAAAAUUCUCGUGCUAUAGUUCAUUUACUUAUGUUUUCUGCUAAACAGGAACGUGUCAGCUGCGCCAUGCAGUGUAAAACUA